GGAAUAUUGGUCAAUGGACGGAAGUCUGAACCAGCCAUGCCGCGUGGAGGAAGAAGGUCCUAUGGGUUGUAAACUCCUUUUGUUCCGGAGUAAUAAGUGCCUUGCGAGGCACGAUGAGAGUACGGGACGAAUAAGCAUCGGCUAACUCCGUGCCAGCAGCCGCGGUAAUACGGAGGAUGCAAGCGUUAUCCGGAUUUAUUGGGUUUAAAGGGUGCGCAGGCGGCGCGUUAAGUCAGUGGUGAAAUGUCCCGGCUCAACCGGGGAACUGCCGCUGAUACUGACGUGCUCGAGUACGGACGGCGCCGGCGGAAUGUGUCAUGUAGCGGUGAAAUGCUUAGAUAUGCCACAGAACACCGAUCGCGAAGGCAGCUGGCGAGGCCGGUACUGACGCUCAGGCACGAAAGCGUGGGGAUCAAACA
rnacentral:rRNA from 1 species